rnacentral:lncRNA from 1 species
UCUGCCGCGUCAGGAGGAGCGGAGACCAUGGGCGGCGGACAGAGUCUGAGGCUGGAGCUGGGAUGCCGCCGACGAGCUGGAACAGGGUUAUGGAGUGAUGAAGGCCACCGCCGAAUUAGCAAGUGCAGUGAUGACCACACUUUGAGUAAUUGCAUAUGAAUGUUGUUGAUUCAAGGAGAGAUCAAGGAAUCCCGAAUGUACAUACUGUCGUAUUCGGAAAAUGGCAUGGAGGGAAUUUCUUGACAAAUUCAGAAUUCAUUUCGAGUCCCACAGCAGAUUAGGUGUCAGCAGAAUUUUCUCCAGUGGAUUCAUUACAAAAAUCUCAAGGCUCUUCGUCAGAUAAACAAUACCAUAUCAGUCUUUUCUUCUACUUUGGUCGUAAUCUGUAGACUCUCGUUGACUUUAGAUUUGCCAUGAAGCCCUUUUGGUGAAGUUUUCAGAUGGUUCAUCGAAAGCUUGUUAAUGGCAAGAUCUGUGUGUUGUGUGUGUGUGUGUGGCGGCGCUUGUACGGAUGUGACAAAAAAACAUAUAUGCAUAAAUCAUAAGCAGUUUAAUGCAGUUUGAGCAUCAUGCUGAAUCAUGGACCAAAAUAAAAAAAAUAAAAUCGAACACAAGGCAUGAAUCAGGAAUAACAAAUUAAUGUAAUCAUUCUAUUAAUGGUUCCACAGGUAGCAAAAGGCAAAUACUGAACUACAGUACUAGCUUCAGUCUCAAAACCCUAACCAUCUUCUGAUAUCCUCAGUUUGGUCCAACAGUAAAUCAGUCUUUUGAGAUAGAAAAGCAAAUCUAGACUAUUUUUCUACAGGAAAAUGUUGUACCGUGUACAUCCUUUCAUUCUUGUUCCAAUCUAUUUAUUACUCUGUGUUCUCUUUUUUUCUCUCCUCUUUUUAUGUUUUGCAUGCUUAUGGUUCUUUUUUUUAGGCCUUAUUUAGUUCCAAAAAGUUUUUUGAUUUUGACACCAUAGCACUUUCAUUUUUAUUUGACAAACAUCGUCCAGUCAUGCAGCAACUAGGCUUAAAAGAUUCGUCCCGCGAUUUACAGACAAACUAUGUAAUUAGUUUUUGUUUUUAUCUAUAUUUAAUACUUCAUGCAUGUGCCGCAAGAUUCCAUGUGAUGAACCCAAAAUCCAAAAAUUUCAAGAUUUCUUGUCACAUCGAAUCUUUAGACGCAUGUAUGGAGUAUUAAAUAUAAACGAAAUUUAAAACUAAUUGCACAGUUAGUCCAUGAUUAAACAAUAAUUAUCACAAACAAACGAAAGUGUUACGUUAUCCCGAAAAAAAUUCGGCAAAGAACUAAACAAGGCCUUAUUCUAUCUUGUGUGCAUGUCGCUGGUGAUUUCAUUGCGGACGCCCUAAAUUUCAGCGAAACGAUCAGGGCCGAGUUCCCAGUUUCGUGCUUUUCAUGAUUGAUUUUUAUUUAUUCCAUGAUUGAUAGUGAUAGAUUCAUUUGUGCUGUACUCGGAAAUGCUUGCUAUAUGAAGCGGCCAGCACUGGUUAGUUGGGCUCGACCAAUGGUUGCCCAUCAGCUAUCACUCUGCGCAGGAAGGAAUCUCCACGCCUCGUGCUCUUGACUUGUCAAGCGACUCUGCUGUUUCUUGGUUGCAAGGAAAGGAAUGGAACAGGACGCGGCGAAUCUGAGCGCCGGCGCCGGCGAGGAGGAAGAGGAAGCUGCGGUGCGCGCCUCCGGCGGCGGGUUCGACUUCGACCCGACGGAGGACGAGCUGGUGCUGCACUUCCUGCGCCCGCAGCUGCGCGGGUUCCCGCCGCGCGUGGCGGGCGCCGUACUGGAGGCGGACCCCUGCGGCGCGGCGCCGUGGGAGCUGCUGGCGCGGUACGGCCUGCGGGAGCGGGGCCACUUCUUCGUGGCGCGCGGGCGGGGGCGGUCCGCCGUGCGCCGCGCCGUGAGUGGCGCCGGCGCCUGGAUGCGCAGCGCCACCAGGCUCGGGCAGUCCGUGACGGACCUCGGCGUGGUGGUGCGGUGGAGCAGGGCCAAGUUCUGCUUCUACGUGCCCCAGCCUGGGCAGGAGUCCGGGUCCGGGCAGGGGCGGCAGCUGCGGAGCGCCGGGUGGGUGCUGGAGGAGUACCAGAUCACGGACCCGCGGUGCUACCGCCGCGCCGACGAGGAGGAAGAGGACCAGUACUGGAUCCUCUGCCGUGUCAGGAGGAGCGGAGAUCAUGGGCGGCGGACAGAGUCUGAGGCUGGAGCUGGGAUGCCGCCGACGAGCUGGAACAAGGUUAUGGAGUGAGUGAUGAAGGCCACCGCCGCCGCGCACGGAAAGCAGAAAGCACGAGGUGAAGAUGUUGUUUUUAAUUAUUUGUUUGAUUGAUAGAAAAGAAGUUAACCAAAAGUGAGUCGCCUCCAUGAAU